CCCUUCGAUGUUCGGAGCUGCACGCGCGCUACACUGUGGGUGGCAGCAUGUUAGCUUGCCUCGCUCGCAAGAGUGGGGUAAUCGUUUGAAAAUCCCACGUGAUUGGGAUAGGGACUUGUAAUUAUUUCCCUUGAACGAGGAAUCCCUAGUAAGUGCAGGUCAUCAGCUUGCGCUGAUUACGUCCCUGCCCUUUGUACACACCGCCCGUCGCUCCUACCGAUUUCGAGUGGUUCGGUGAACCUUUCGGACCGGCAAUGCCUCGUGUUGCGCCGGAAAGUCAAGUAAACCAUAUCACUUAGAGGAAGGAGAAGUCGUAACA
rnacentral:rRNA from 1 species